rnacentral:rRNA from 1 species
CGUGUAGGCGGUCAGGUAAGUGGAAUGUGAAAUGCCCCGGCUCACCCGGGGACCGGCAUCCCAAACUGCCUGGCUUGAGUAUGGGAGAGGAUGGAGGAAUUCCUGGUGUAGCGGUGAAAUGCGUAGAUAUCAGGAGGAACACCGGUGGCGAAGGCGUCCAUCUGGCCCAAUACUGACGCUGAGGCGCGAAAGCUAGGGGAGCAAAC